AUGCAUUACCUAGUUCUGUUGUGUAGAAUUUUUUUUUUUUUUUCCUUUGCAGUACGCGGGGCCUCCCACUGCUGUGACCUCUCCCGUUGCGGAGCACAGGCUCCGGACGCGCAGGCUCAGCGGCCGUGGCUCACGGGCCCAGCCACUCCGCGGCAUGUGGGAUCUUCCCGGACCGGGGCACGAACCCGCGUCCCCUGCAUCGGCAGGCGGACUCUCAACCACUGCGUCACCAGGGAAACCCUGUUGUGUAGAAUAUUAUGUUUCCUGUGUAUACAGGCACACUCCACUUUUAAAGUAGACUGUAAUAGGAGAGUCCCAUGAACUGCUCUAUGGUAAAUUGCGUACUCACUGAAAGUGCUGUAGAAACAAUCCUCACUGGAGAAGUAAUAAGACAAUGUCCGCUCGGGGAUCAAGGCUUCCAAGGGUGGUAGUGGUAGCUCUCAGAAGUCUCCAGAGCCAGGUGAGCUCCAAACACUGGCUCUCAGUUCUGGAGAAGAAUGAGUUUGGUUCCUUUAGUGUCCUUACAUUGAGCUCUGAACCACACCCGCUUUUUCCAAGUGAUUGCAUUUCACCAGUUUUCUAAUAGGGUUAAUAUGGAGGAUGAGAUUUCCUGAAACCUAGGACAAGACUGCUUUAACACCUUGGAUAAUCUUCAUAAACCCAUCUCUGCAAACAUCUUCUCACCAAGAACCACUGAUUAUACCACAAAUCCACCCUCAAAUGGGCCUUCAUAUGUGUUUCUAGAUAUCAUGGAUUUUUAUUUUUAACUUACCAAAGAAGUUGGAAAGAUUAUUUCAUCACUUAGAGAGUUUAGCAAAUGUCUUGGAAAACUUGGAAAUCUGUUUCUUGAGGUUUGUUUAAAUAUGUUCUGUCAUGGAGGAAGUGCUUUAUUUUGUUGAUUGGUUUUAAAAAUUUAAAGUAGGACUUUAGUGUAAGAACAUCUGUGGUGACAACUUCAGAAUGGAAAUUUCUCUUGCCCCUCACCGUCACACUCCAGAUCAAGCCCCCCAGUGUCUCCCAGCAACAGCAGGACAGGAGAUUAUCUGCCUGGUGCUCCCCCACCCAGCUCAGGGGGGACAGUAGAGAAAGACCCCAGCACAGAGACCCCUUUGGGACAAUGUCAUUUAUAGGUUGCUUUGGAACAAAACAGAAACAACAAUAACCACAAUGGGAAAACUAGAACAAAGAAACAUUUUGAAGAAAUAACACAUACCCUUACCUUCCUUUCCUGAUAUAUUUCUCACUGAACAAUCAACUUGAGAAUGCAGAGUUUUUGGAAGGAGACUCAUGACCCUGUCUUUAAGUCUUCCAAGAUACAUGUACCAUAUGUAUAUGUUUCCAGUGGUUGAUGCUCCUAAAUGUUUAUGAACAUGAUUUUAAAAUGACCUUGAACUGCAAAAGCACAACCUCUCUCUCAUGGGGGACCACAAUUGUUACAAGCGUUCCCAAGGUCAUUAUUUUUCAAUUCUUAACCAAUUUCCCUAUCACCCUUCUUUUCUAAGUGAAGUAUGGCAAUAUAGGUUAAUUACUACAAUGAUACCUUGUGUUCCCAAUUAGUCAUAAAGUGGUUUUGGGAAUGCUGACAUGAAAGUGAUUUUAUUUUAUUUCUCUGUUUUUCUAUAUUUUACAUAUUGCAGCAGUCACCAAAAUCAGGGCACCAGAUGCAAAUGUACAGUUUCCUCUUCAGUAGACACUGGCACUCUGGAUCUCCUCAGUGGAAGAGGUUGAAGACAGCACUAGCCCAGAGUUCCCUGGAGAGGAUGACAUUGGGCCUGUAAGUGUGUGUUUAAUUAGGAGCCUGCCCCUCAAGCAGCAACUAGGAAGAUAAAUUAGUGUAAACUCUCUAGUUUAAAAUCAUGGUAAAAGACGCUACUUAUAUCUGCAAAACUCCUUCAUGGUAUCACUUGGAUUAGUUUAAUGCCUGAUUGAAUAAUCAGAGGUGUGUGCAUGCUAAAACAUGCUGCUGCCCUCACUUCCCCCUUUGUAGUCUAGCCCUGCCAAGUUGGCAUGUCAAGAAGCCAUCAUGAGGUUAUAUGCUGCG
rnacentral:lncRNA from 1 species